rnacentral:rRNA from 1 species
UUUAGUGGGGAAUAACUGUUGGAAACGACAGCUAAUACCGCAUAAUAUUGCUGGAUAAUUUCCAGUAAUGAAAGGAGCUUUCAAGCUCCGCUGAUUGAUGAGGAUGCGGCGCAUUAGCUAGUUGGUAGGGUAAUGGCCUACCAAGGCAAUGAUGCGUAGCCGAUCUGAGAGGAUGAACGGCCACAUUGGGACUGAGACACGGCCCAAACUUCUACGGAAGGCAGCAGUAGGGAAUUUUUCACAAUGGGCGAAAGCCUGAUGGAGCAAUGCCGCGUGACUGAUGAAGGUCUUCGGAUUGUAAAGGUCUGUUGUAAGGGAAGAAAUGGUAAAACAGGAAAUGGUUUUAUCUAUGACGGUACCUUACCAGAAAGCCACGGCUAACUAUGUGCCAGCAGCCGCGGUAAUACAUAGGUGGCAAGCGUUAUCCGGAUUUAUUGGGCGUAAAGGGUGCGUAGACGGUUUUGCAAGUCUGANGUUAAAUUUAGGAGCUCAACUCCNAAUCGCCUUGGAAACUACANGACUAGAGUAUA